UUUUUCAGGCAAUGGUUACAGUUUUCUCUCAAAAUUUUGUUGAUCAUACCUGACGACCAUCAGGACUAGUGCAACAAAUCAAGUCUACCGCGGUUAUCAAGUUUCUUCGACAGCCUCUCAGACAGCAACAUGUUGCGAUCUAAGAAGUCAUCGAGACCGCGGACAUGUGAUACACCCAAACCAGGCUGAUCCAAAUCACGGAAUAUACAUUGUUGAUACCACAAGAUACUACGAUGUUGUUGUAGCCACAGCACCACUCAGGCUUGAUGUCCUCCAUUGUAGCGGCCCAGAACCGUUGACCCGGCA